rnacentral:rRNA from 1 species
GAGUUUGAUCGUGGCUCAGAUUGAACGCUAGCGGCAUGCCUUACACAUGCAAGUCGAACGGCAGCACGGGAGCUUGCUCCUGGUGGGCGAGUGGCGAACGGGUGAGUAAUGCAUCGGAACGUAUCCUGGAGUGGGGGAUAACGUAGCGAAAGUUACGCUAAUACCGCAUAUUCUGUGAGCAGGAAAGCGGGGGACCUUCGGGCCUCGCGCUCUUGGAGCGGCCGAUGUCGGAUUAGCUAGUUGGUGAGGUAAAGGCUCACCAAGGCGACGAUCCGUAGCAGGUCUGAGAGGAUGAUCUGCCACACUGGAACUGAGACACGGUCCAGACUCCUACGGGAGGCAGCAGUGGGGAAUUUUGGACAAUGGGGGGCAACCCUCGAUCCGAGCCAUGCCGCGUGAGUGAAGAAGGCCUC